rnacentral:rRNA from 1 species
GAGUUUGAUUCUGGCGUCAGGAUAAACGACUGGCGGCGUGCUUAACACAUGCAAGUCGAACGGAGUAUCUCUCCCGAGACUAAGGAAGCUUGCUUCCGAGGAAUCAUUUGAGGUACUUAGUGGCGGACGGGUGAGUAACGCGUGGGAAACCUGCCCUAUGCAGGGGGAUAACAGUUGGAAACGACUGUUAAUACCGCAUAAGCGCACAGUACCGCAUGGUACAGUGUGAAAAACUCCGGUGGCAUAGGAUGGUCCCGCGUCUGAUUAGCUAGUUGGUGAGGUAACGGCCCACCAAGGCGACGAUCAGUAGCCGGCCUGAGAGGGUGUACGGCCACAUUGGGACUGAGACACGGCCCAAACUCCUACGGGAGGCAGCAGUGGGGAAUAUUGGACAAUGGGGGAAACCCUGAUCCAGCGAACCGCCGCGUGAGUGAUGAAGUAUUUCGGUAUGUAAAGCUCUAUCAGCAGGGAAGAUAAUGACGGUACCUGACUAAGAAGCACCGGCUAAAUACGUGCCAGCCGCUGC